UCCUUGUGACCGACCAUGCAAUGGUACCACUACAUAUUUCGUUUACUAAAAAUUUUAAUAACCCGGUUAAUCAACAUUUACUCAGAACUACUUGAAGGCAAUUUACUAAACAGUGUGAUGUGCUCAAAAUUUAUUUACAACCAGACCGGUUUCAACUUUAAUGAGUGGCCGGAGUAUGACCCAAAUUGUGCUUUGUAUACAGAGGAUUAUAUGAAUGUUUGCGCACAAAGUCCCUUCUUUGUAUUUUCUGGAGAUUCGGAAACAGAGAAAGUUUUUGAAGAAUUUUCACAGAUGAAAAAUAUUACUUGCUCUGCACAAGGAGUUCCUCCACCCGUUCUUACUUGGGAUUACGCAACACAGUACUACGUAAUCCGAUCGAACAAUAGAUUAAUUUCGAAUGUAACGAGGUUUAAGGAUGACAAUGGAAGUUGGACGAUACGGGCAACAAUCUAUUUCCAAGUUGUUGAACGCUCAGAUGACAGAGUAUACAUUUGUGAUGCUAGCAAUAUUGCUGGCUCUGCCAAUAGAACCUAUACAGUCUCAGUUUCAUCUGAUUUCAUGGACUGGAAACUGACUUUACUUAUUACUGGAGGUGCUACGUUAAGUCUUUUGGGCUUACUUGCAAUACCACUAACUUACAUUUUAUACAGACUUCAGAAGAAGGUACAGUAAUUUACAACUAAGCCAAUUUGAAUAGUUUAAUGGCCUCAGAUUAAAUAAUUUCCAGAGAAACGAAAAACUUCUUGAACUCUAUAACCAAUUUAAAUAUGGCGCCAAUUCACGAAGCAGUAGGAGUAUGCAAUCUGCAUCCUUCCUUCAAAACUUAACGAACGUAUCGAUUCCCGGCGUAUAUCGCACGUACCAACGGAUUUACCAUUUCCUAAGACGUUAGAAAUAUUUGCCCACCGGUUGGACAUCUUUGACUCAAUUGUUCUUGGCAGUGGUGCAUUUGGCAUUGUCUACAAAGGAAUGCUAGACAAAUACACAGAGGUUGCCAUAAAAACCGUUACUAAAAAUAGCUGUGAAUCAAAAUUGGCAGCUUUGCUAUCAGAAAUCAAAAUUAUGAACUACGCUGGAGGGCAUCCCAACGUUGUACAAUUACUUGGCGUACAAAUAAAAGAUUUAAGGAAAGGUAUUGUGUUCGCUGUCGUUGAAUUUUGCAGUCGUGGAUCGCUGGAAGGGAUUCUGCGAGCUAAACGAAGAGCUCUCUAUCGUUCAAAUUACUUUAACCCUAUAUACACAAUUCCCGGAUGUCUUGGAGCUUCUACUUUUGUUAAAAACUUUUCCACAUACGAACUACUGACGUUUUGUCGCCAGGUUUGCAGUGCGAUGGAGUAUCUUGGAUCUAAGAGAGUAUUCACGACUUCCACCUGCUAAUAUGAAUAAGCAUGAAGGAACUAUACUGGUGACUGCAUUAUUAAAUGAAAUGCAACAACCCAGGUAAUUCAUGGAAGUUCCCCAAAUGUCCUUAUUCAUGGAAAUGGUACAGCAAAAAUAUCAGAUUUUGGACUAUCUCGACAAAUCUAUGGAAACUAUAAGGAGUACAUUGUAGCAUCGAAAGUAUUUAUCCACAAAAAUAUUGGUUUGUUCCAUACUUGGCCCACUAACUGGAAUAUGCCUGUCUAAAUUGGUUGUGUAGAAAACUGCGCUCCCUUGGAGAUGGCUUGCAAUUGAAACUUUAGAAAAUCUAAGGUUCUCACCAGAUUCUGACAUAUGGGCCUUUGGAGUAUUUAUGUGGGAAGUUUUCAGCUUGGGCGAUGUACCAUACUCUGCAGGAAUAACAUGGAGCCCUGAGUUUGUCAAGUACCUAAGGUCUGGAUUCCGCCUUCAAGUACCUCAAUAUGCCACCGAUGAAAUUUAUAAUGUAAUGAAGAAAUGCUGGGAACAAGAACCAAGUGAAAGAAUCAGGUUUCGAUCCAUAAAUGCCAGCCUUGAUGUUUUACUGGAAUUAGAGUACUCAAAGAAAUAACUACAACAUAUAGGGUAGUUGUACCUUUAUGUACAUACGGAUAUGUGUGUACUUAAAUUCUCCAAAAGGCAAUGUAGUUUAAUUAAGAUGGUAUGGUUAGGGCUCUUAGACACAUUUUAUUUUCGAGAAGA